rnacentral:misc_RNA from 1 species
UGGAACGUUGGCGUGUUGGCAUGUUGGCGUGUUGGCAUGUUGGCGUGUUGGCGUGUUGGAAGGUUGGCGUGUUGGUAUAUUGGUAUGUUGGCGUGUUGGCGUGUUGGUGUGUUGGCGUGUUGGCGUGUUGGCGUGUUGGCGUGUUGGAAGGUUGGCGUGUUGGUAUAUUAGCAUGUUGGCGUGUUGGCAUGUUGGCGUGUUGGCGUGUUGGGAGGUUGGCGUGUUGGCGUGUUGGCGUGUUGGAAGGUUGGCGUGUUGGUAUAUUGGUAUGUUGGCGUGUUGGCGUGU